rnacentral:lncRNA from 1 species
GUAAAACAAUGUAUUGAAAGCUGCUGGGCAGAGCUCUGCUGUGCUGAAUCUGUGGCAAGCUUCAGUAACACAAAUAUGAUGUUGUCAGGCCAUCACCGUAACUGGCACCUCUGCAGUCACACAAUAGGCUGAAAACAAAAUCCUCAUCUCUGGCAUCUCAGACUUCCUGGACCUGCAACUGCAGCAGCAAGCCAGGACCCCGAGGGCACUGACAGCUACGUUAUCCUGAACAGCCUCACCUGGGGCUCAGCCACACCUGCUGGCUCUAAUUGAGAUCAGCUCUGGGCAUCUAGAACCUUCUCAGAGCUGUUGGGCUGAUGCUUCACCACCUCUGUCUGCUGGAUGGACCUCAGCCAAGCCAAUGGUCAAACAAGAUGAGAAAAAGUGGGGUGAAACUGCCUGGAGAUCUUACAGUGCACCUACUGCUACAAAUGGAAAAGUUCAUCCUGAAGGAGGGAAGGAGUGGCAGAAGAUAAGAUCAGCUUCACACACUCUGUGGAGGAGAUUCCUCGUAUUAAUGUCCAGCCCUCUGAAGACGACAGACAGACACCUGGUGUGUGCAGCAGAUCUCGUGCUGACCUGACCUCGCAGUGGGAGCUCAGCAAAGGACUUGUCCCAGGGCAGCUGUUAACUUCAGGGUGUUUUCCUGAGCUCGUUUCAGGCAAUGCAUGUCCUCAGCAAUGCAGCAGGUACACAGCUUUAUAGCACCACAUGCACCACCCUCAGGGGACUGAUCCCAACCCCACUGAUGUUUGGUCUCCUUGAGCAGCAGCUUGUUGCAGCGUGUUUACUAUUGCAAUAAGGGCAAAUCCCAGCUUGUUUCAGAGCAAAUUCUCUGCAGGAAUCACUGGUGUUACCGAAGUCAGGAACUGGCACAUGCGGUACCGAGUCUCCAACCUGCAGCCUGCUCCUGCUGUAGGACUACAGCCCUCUGGUGGUAGCUAAUCGCAUAUUUUGUGGAGGGCUGCUUAACAGCUCUGAGCCCUGACCUUUAAGGUGCUGCCUGCAGGGAUAUGAAUAUUCCUGAUCUCCGAGUUCAUACAUGAAACAUGGCACUUUUUUUUUUUUUUUUCUGAAUUC